GCCGAUGUGGUGGAAUUGGUAGACACGCCGUCUUGAGGGGGCGGUGGCGCGAGCCGUGCCGGUUCAAGUCCGGCCAUCGGCACCA
rnacentral:tRNA from 3 species